rnacentral:rRNA from 1 species
UACGGGGGGGGCAAGCGUUGUUCGGAUUUACUGGGCGUAAAGGGCGCGUAGGCGGCCACCGCAAGUCGACUGUGAAAUCUCCGGGCUUAACCCGGAAAGGUCAGCCGAUACUGCGGGGCUAGAGUGCAGAAGGGGCAACUGGAAUUCUCGGUGUAGCGGUGAAAUGCGUAGAUAUCCGGAGGAACACCAGUGGCGAAGGCGGCUUCCUGGACCGACACUGACGCUGAGGCGCGAAAGCUAGGGGAGCAAACGGG